GGUGUGUUUGCAGUGUGCAGAGUAAACGAGUAAAAAACGCUGUGCAGUCAUGUCUCCGGUUCUUUCUGCGCAUGCUCCGAACUUAAUGGGAUAAUAUGUGUUUUAUAGCAUAAUGAUGCAAACAACAGUAUUUACAUUCAUCACAUUACUGUGCUGGAAAACAAUACAAAUUAAAUAAAAAAGAAGAAAAAGUGUAGAAGAAGAAAAGCAGGACAAAGACAGAGUAUUGGGUGACCUACGUUCCUGUGGUGGUGAACAUGACUGCGAGUUCUCCAGAAGAACAAAUGCUGUAUUAUUACAGUGCUCCAGUACAUGUGGUGCCUCCUCAGCAGUACUCAGUCCAUCCCACAGGAUUCAAUACAUGCUACACUCUACUCCCUGAACCUACUACCCCAACAAAUGGUAAGUUCAUCAUGCCUUUCCAGUCAUCCUUACAAAAAGCCUGGUUUUCUUGUAGGAUGUUAUGAUCCUCACAGCUUACAUGUUGGUCUUUAAUUGAAACUGAUACUGUUCUUAAUACUGUACGUUUUUGUUCGGGUGGGUGUGGAGACCACGCUGGAGCGAAACCAGAUCACACGUGACCACGUGGGUCAUCUGUUCCAUCAGCUGCUGCAGGCUGGGAUCCUCUCCACAUCUCAGUUUUUUA